CUCCUGAGGAACUGUACGCAGAGGACUGCCAGCCACAGCUGCGCUGCGGGUGGGGCUGCCCCAAUCGCAGCCACCUGGCUGCACCUGCAAAAUUGGGAAAACCUGGGGAAAGGCUUCCUGCCAGUGUCUCCAAACGAGUCCCAGGGAGGCCCUGCCCAACCCAGCUCAGUCCCUGCUCAGAGCUGCUGCGGGAGGACCAGGAGAGCAACUGCAGUGCAGCGCAGGCAAUGGCGCAGGGGAGCAGCCAAACGACAGAAAGGCUCAGCCUGGGCCUGGGCGAGGAGCACAGCCUUAACACGAGAGGAUGAGCCUGGGCGAGGAGCACAGCCCCGACGCAGGCAGCACCUGGGGAUGCCGACAUGGGAGGAAAUGUCCAGUACAGAGAAGACACUGACGCUGCCUUGCCCGCCCCCACCCAUCUCUGGCGUGACCCCCACCUCACUUCUGCCCUCAGGAACGAGACUGGGAGAGACGCUCCACGCAGAGAGAGGCACUUGACGUGGAUUUAAUUCCGGAGGGAAGAGGCCAGGCUCCCUGCUCGGAGCUCCUUGUCAGGGACCGCCCUGCCUGCUCCUGCCUCGGAGUACAGAUCCAGCUGAUGGACACCCCAGCUUAUUACAGCUUCAGGUAACUUAAGCCAUGAGAUGUCCCUCGUAAUAGUCCUUCCUGUUACAGCUGCAGGUAAGCUCGGUUCUCCCCGACAGAGGCUACGGAGAGCAGACGCUGCCCUGUUCAAGCAUGCUGGGAGUGCAGUCACGGCUUGUUACAGCUCCAGCAACUGGACGUGCCGGGUUAUUUCAAUUCUAGCUACUGGAUGCUCCAGCUUGUUUCACUUUGAGGAAACUUGAGGUUCAGCUUAUGGAAGCUCCAGCUGUGGCUAUGAGAUGCUCCAGUUAAUUUCACCUCCAGCUCUGGCAAUGAGAUGCUCCUGCUUCAUAUAGUGCUGGCUGAUGGAUGCUCCAACUGGGGAAGGGAUGAUGCUUCUUGUUACCGGCUCUGGCUUAAUAAAUGCUCCUUCCUGUUACAAGCCAGUUAAACCUCCAGCUAAUUGCAGCAAUGUGGGCUAGGUCGUAAAUCAAUCACUGUCAUAACUUGUAUAUGAAUAUGAACUGUCAUACUUGUACAAAUAUGUGUAAUUACUCUUCUGGUACACAAAUUGAAUAAAGAGGUGGGGGAAAGCGCCUUUCCCCCCAGAGA